rnacentral:piRNA from 1 species
UGGAAUUUCCUGUUCUGAUGUGCUCAUGU